rnacentral:rRNA from 1 species
CGGAGGGUGCAAGCGUUAUCCGGAAUCACUGGGCGUAAAGGGCGCGUAGGCGGUCUGUUAAGUCUGGCGUUAAAGCCUGGGGCUCAACCCCAGAUCAGCGUUGGAUACUGGCAGGCUAGACGGUUGGAGAGGCGAGUGGAAUUACCAGUGUAGCGGUGGAAUGCGUAGAUACUGGUAGGAACACCCAUUGCGAAGGCAGCUCGCUGGACAACACGUGACGCUGAGGCGCGAAAGUGUGGGGAGCAAACCGGAUU